CCGGCCUGAGGCGGGCUCGGCCCCCGGAUCCGGUUCACGCCCGGAUCCGGUCGCGGCCGGGAGCCUGGUUCAGGCCAGGAGGCGGGU
rnacentral:tRNA from 1 species